rnacentral:rRNA from 1 species
GUCUUAUUGAAAAUAAUUUUAAGUCUAAUCUGCUCAAUGAAUUAAUUUUAAAUAGCUGCAGUAUAAAUAACUGUACAAAGGUAGCAUAAUAAUUUGUUUUUUAAUUAAAAACUAGAAUGAAUGAUUUUAUGAAAUAUAAACUGUAUCAAAUUUAAUUAAUAAAUUUAUUAUUUAAAUAAAAAAAUUUAAAUAAAUUUUAAAGACGAGAAGACCCUAUAGAAUUUUAAUAAUAAAAUUAUAAAUUAAUUUAUAAUUUUAUUAUUUUAAUUGGGGAAAUUUUAAAAUUUUAAAAAUUUUUAAUUUAAAAAACAUUAAUUUUUGAAUAUAAAAUAUUUUUUAAAAAAAUAAAAUAAAUUACCUUAGGGAUAACAGCAUAAUUUUUUUAAAAAGUUCAAAUUUAUAAAAAAGUUUAU